CGGGUAUCCCCCGUCCAGGUGGUUAUUGUCAAGUUAGAGAUGGUGGUAACAACAGAGGUCACCGUGGUGAUGCCACGGCUCAGCGCAGCACAAUGUGACGAAAACACUCAACAGUCGUCCGUCGCAAGACUGCCCCUCCCAGCUGCGUGCCAUCAGAUUGCUCACCGUCCCACGGCUAUCCAGCUGACACACCAGGACAAUUAGGGCCCGCCAUACAUCUUUGCGAUGUGCCAUCUGAGUCCUCGCCCAGGGCUGACUUCUCUGUUUAUCAUAACGUCAAGAUACGCCUCCAUUAGAAAGCCAGACUCCUGGGCUGGUGCGGUGAGCUUGUGAAACAAAUAAUUUGUUUAC